CAUGAGUUCUGUUUUGACCUCCACUGUUGAUUAGCUGUGCAUUCAGCCCUACAAAGGUCAAAAGCAGAGUGGCCUUGGCUUGACAACUUUUUCUGUGUGCCCUGCUCUAGAUGGAAAACAAAUCAGGCGUCUGGCUCUCAGCCUUCGGGAGCUACAGUCUUUGGAAAUAGAUGUAUAGUCGUGCUUUGUUUUCAUUUUAAAAGCAGAAGAACAGAACAAACUCUCUGAGAUGAGGGCGGGAGUAGGCUGGGAGAGAAUGAAGAGAGGAACCUGAUAACCUUUUAAACAAUCCAGGGACGAAAGGAUUGCUUGAAUCACUCAGAUCAAAGAAGGCUUUCUGGCACAAGUUGGAGUCUGCUGCUUUUGAAAUGGAAGAGGCAAAGGGAGCUUUGACAGAUUUCUCUAAAUGUAGACAACCGCAGGUGUCCGGAGCUCUGCCCACAGGGACCAGGCUGGAAUCCCAGGCCUUUGAGAAGGAAGCACAUCAUGGUGGGGAACGUCUGCCAGAGCACAACUGUUCACCGUAUUGCCAGGGAUGAAACGGAAAGAUGAGAAAGGAGGAAAGGCUCCACAAUCCCCUUCAAGGACAAGUCCCCAGUAAGAACCAGAAGGCUCUUCUCCUAAUUUGUCCGUCUUAUCAUCCUCUCCAAAAACUGUUCUGCCAAUGAAAUGAUCCAGCGUGAAGGACAUCUGUGGAACAGUCUAUGACCAGAGCCCAUGAAAAAUUUCCACUUGUUCCUGCCAGUCCUUGGGUCACAGAGAUGGGUGAGCAGCUGGGCGCCACUGUGUGUCAGAGGGUCUCUGUAACCCACACACGUGCUCACAUCUCCUCACAAGAAUAAAUCUAGCCUUCUUAAAA